AUGCCUUGAUCAGGUGCUGGUGGUGCAGAUUUCCAUCACAGAAGAAACCAGAAAAGACAACAGAGAGAAGCAGAAAAUAGUAAAGAUUAUCAUCAAAAGGAAGUCCCACCUGAAGACCUCACAUCUGGUCCUGGCUCUCCUGACAUCACUUCUGACCAAACACGAGAAAUCCUUCCUGUCCCGGCCCCGAGGUCGUCACUUCCUGGGAACCAGCUAUAAAAACCCCUC